rnacentral:rRNA from 1 species
AUUGAACGCUGGCGGCAGGCCUAACACAUGCAAGUCGAACGAGUGGCGGACGGGUGAGUAAUGUCUGGGAAACUGCCUGAUGGAGGGGGAUAACUACUGGAAACGGUAGCUAAUACCGCAUACCAUCAGAUGUGCCCAGAUGGGAUUAGCUAGUUGGUGGGGUAACGGCUCACCAAGGCGACGAUCCCUAGCUGGUCUGAGAGGAUGACAAGCCACACGGGAACUGAGAAGCGGUCCAGACGCCUACGGGAGGAAGCAGAGGGGAAUAGUGCACAAUGGGCGCAAGCCUGAUGCAGCCAUGCGGCGUGUAUGAAGAAGGCCUUCGGGUUAUAAAGUACUUUCAGCGGGGAGGCGUUACCCGCAGAAGAAGCAACGGCUAACUCCGUGCCAGCCGCCGCGGUAAUAC